rnacentral:rRNA from 1 species
GCUGGCGGCGUGCCUAAUACAUGCAAGUCGAACGAGUUCUGAUUAUUGAAAGGUGCUUGCAUCUUGAUUUAAUUUUGAACGAGUGGCGGACGGGUGAGUAACACGUGGGUAACCUGCCCUUAAGUGGGGGAUAACAUUUGGAAACAGAUGCUAAUACCGCAUAAAUCCAAGAACCGCAUGGUUCUUGGCUGAAAGAUGGCGUAAGCUAUCGCUUUUGGAUGGACCCGCGGCGUAUUAGCUAGUUGGUGAGGUAACGGCUCACCAAGGCAAUGAUACGUAGCCGAACUGAGAGGUUGAUCGGCCACAUUGGGACUGAGACACGGCCCAAACUCCUACGGGAGGCAGCAGUAGGGAAUCUUCCACAAUGGACGCAAGUCUGAUGGAGCAACGCCGCGUGAGUGAAGAAGGCUUUCGGGUCGUAAAACUCUGUUGUUGGAGAAGAAUGGUCGGCAGAGUAACUGUUGUCGGCGUGACGGUAUCCAACCAGAAAGCCACGGCUAACUACGUGCCAGCAGCCGCGGUAAUACGUAGGUGGCAAGCGUUAUCCGGAUUUAUUGGGCGUAAAGCGAGCGCAGGCGGUUUUUUAAGUCUGAUGUGAAAGCCCUCGGCUUAACCGAGGAAGUGCAUCGGAAACUGGGAAACUUGAGUGCAGAAGAGGACAGUGGAACUCCAUGUGUAGCGGUGAAAUGCGUAGAUAUAUGGAAGAACACCAGUGGCGAAGGCGGCUGUCUGGUCUGUAACUGACGCUGAGGCUCGAAAGCAUGGGUAGCGAACAGGAUUAGAUACCCUGGUAGUCCAUGCCGUAAACGAUGAAUGCUAGGUGUUGGAGGGUUUCCGCCCUUCAGUGCCGCAGCUAACGCAUUAAGCAUUCCGCCUGGGGAGUACGACCGCAAGGUUGAAACUCAAAGGAAUUGACGGGGGCCCGCACAAGCGGUGGAGCAUGUGGUUUAAUUCGAAGCAACGCGAAGAACCUUACCAGGUCUUGACAUCUUUUGAUCACCUGAGAGAUCAGGUUUCCCCUUCGGGGGCAAAAUGACAGGUGGUGCAUGGUUGUCGUCAGCUCGUGUCGUGAGAUGUUGGGUUAAGUCCCGCAACGAGCGCAACCCUUAUGACUAGUUGCCAGCAUUUAGUUGGGCACUCUAGUAAGACUGCCGGUGACAAACCGGAGGAAGGUGGGGAUGACGUCAAAUCAUCAUGCCCCUUAUGACCUGGGCUACACACGUGCUACAAUGGAUGGUACAACGAGUUGCGAGACCGCGAGGUCAAGCUAAUCUCUUAAAGCCAUUCUCAGUUCGGACUGUAGGCUGCAACUCGCCUACACGAAGUCGGAAUCGCUAGUAAUCGCGGAUCAGCACGCCGCGGUGAAUACGUUCCCGGGCCUUGUACACACCGCCCGUCACACCAUGAGAGUUUGUAACACCCGAAGCCGGUGGCGUAACCCUUUUAGGGAGCGAGCCGUCUAAGGUGGGACAAAUGAUUAGGGUGAAG